UGGGGAAUAUUGGACAAUGGGCGCAAGCCUGAUCCAGCCAUGCCGCGUGAGUGAUGAAGGCCUUAGGGUUGUAAAGCUCUUUUAGCAGGGAAGAUAAUGACGGUACCUGCAGAAAAAGCCCCGGCUAACUUCGUGCCAGCAGCCGCGGUAAUACGAAGGGGGCUAGCGUUGCUCGGAAUUACUGGGCGUAAAGCGCACGUAGGCGGACUCUUAAGUCGGUGGUGAAAUCCUGGAGCUCAACUCCAGAACUGCCUUCGAUACUGGGAGUCUUGAGUUCGGGAGAGGGGAGUGGAACUGCGAGGGUAGAGGUGAAAUUCGUAGAUAUUCGCAAGAACACCGGUGGCGAAGGCGGCUCACUGGCCCGAUACUGACUCUGAGGUGCGAAAGCGUGGGGAGCAAACA
rnacentral:rRNA from 1 species